rnacentral:lncRNA from 1 species
UCCACUAUUACCUCGUCUCGCGAAUGAUAAUCAAGAACAAAUCAAAAAGGCAUAGGUAGGAUGCCUUUUCGUUCCAGCACCAAGUUCAUAAGAAAAUUUGAUACAAAGCUAUCAAUGAUGACAAUUUUGAAGGCAAAACAUGAUUCUCAAUUUUCAUUAUAACUCACGGCAUAAGGAAAGAUUCAUGGUAGAAUGCCCGAAAAGACGAUAAGCUUUAUCCCUUGACACAACUUUGUGGAAAAAUACUGACCUUGCACGCUUCUUUCUUUCUGAUCCUAGCCAACCCUCUGAACCAGAAGAU